rnacentral:misc_RNA from 1 species
ACCAUCUCCUCCUCCUCUUCUGUAGUACCCACUGUAUCUAUUCUUGUUGUCAUGCAUAAUUGCAGCAGUGGAAGUAGUGUUGUUAUGACUUCCUUGCACACUAUUAUGUGAAGGAAGCUCAGGAAAAUCAAAGGAAGUGACAUUAACUUGAGUGGUACUAUUUCUAGCUUCAUCAUCACCUCUGAGGUCAACAACUGCCAUUGCCAGAAACAAAAGAACCCAUAAACUUCUAAUCUUAAGUGUCUCCAUCUUCUUCCGUGUACUUGCAGAAUGCAAUUGCUGCACGGAUACAUGCCAUCUCUACAUAUAUUAUAUAAUCCCUUGCCAGCUAGGUUUUGG